AAAAAAAAUAGAAGAAUGAACUGGAAAGGGGGUUGUGGCUUAGAACAGGGGGGAGGAGCGGUGGAGCAGCAGCGCCGCCGCGCGCUGUGCGCCACGGCAGCCGGAGACAGGAAGAAGUACAGCAGCAGCGCCGAAGCUGGGACGGAGGGAGGCGGCCUGACCAACCGCUGCUCUCUGUCGCGGGACGGCGAGGGUGGCCGCGCUGUCGGCUGAAGAGAGAGAGAAAGGUGAGGGUGGUGUUGGGCAGGAGCAGGCGACGGUUGGCGGAGGAUGAGGCCGGAGGAGGAGUCAGCCGCGGCUUGGAGCGGCGAGGAGAAGGGCAGAAGGGGGGAGAGAAGUCGAUGGAAAGGGAGAGAGGGAGAGAGGUUAAGGAGAGGACAGGGGGAGGCAGAGUCGCGGCCUCCGGCGGCGGCGUGCCGUCCGGUGGCGGCGGCAGGAGGCUGAGAAGAGGGGAGGGGGCAGGGCACCGAGAGGGAGAGAAGAAGAGAGGGAGUGAGGCUGCGUGAGAUGUGUGUGUGUAUGGUGGGAGUGUGAUUAAAUUAGGGUGAAGGAAAGAAUGGGCUUGGGCCCUAGGAUUGGUUUUAAUUUAAGAUGGUUGGGCUCAGUAUAAUUAGUAGCUGGGCUUCAGAUUUUAAUUUUACUCUAAUUAUAUUGGGUUUGGUAUUUUUGAUCACUAACCCAAAUUUUUUUUAUAAGAAGCAUACAUUUUAUUAUUUGAUUCAUUAGAUCAAUUAUUUUAUAUGGUCUUAUACUUUAAAUUAUUUUCUAAAAGUUCAAUUAGGCCCUUAUGUUUUGUUAUUCGAAUUUAUCUGACUAGGUGCGGCGCGACUAAGACGUGAAUUUUAAUUUCUCACAGUUAAUUUCAAGUUCAAGUUACAGGUAACUAAGGUUGGAGACGCGUGGAGGAUCGAAUGGGCGCGUCAAGUAAAUAUUUUUGAAAAUAUAAUGUUGUAGUUACACCUAACCUUUUGCUUUGUACAGUUUUCGAAGUCUCAAACUACUCUUGAGAUUUUGGUGUAACUUAUCGAGUUUAGUGUUAUCAUAUUAGCUUCCUAUCAUGGCUGGCCUUCUUUUCAAAUUAUUUCAAAUAUUUUAUUUAAAAAUUUAUUUCUUUGAAAAUAAAUCCAAAUCUUUAUUUUAU